GGGCUUGUAGCUCAGUGGAUUAGAGCACGUGGCUACGAACCACGGUGUCGGGGGUUCGAGUCCCUCCUUGCCCG
rnacentral:tRNA from 4 species